rnacentral:misc_RNA from 1 species
UCAUAGUGAUUAGGACGUCCACUUAACUUGGAGUCCGAACUCUCACUUUCUAACCCUGUGCACUUGUUUGGGAUAGUAACUCUCGCAAGAGAGCGAACUCCUAUUCACUUAUAAACACAAAGUCUAUGAAUGUAUUAAAUUUUAUAACAAAAUAAAACUUUCAACAACGGAUCUCUUGGCUCUCGCAUCGAUGAAGAACGCAGCGAAAUGCGAUAAGUAAUAUGAAUUGCAGAAUUCAGUGAAUCAUCGAAUCUUUGAACGCACCUUGCGCUCCAUGGUAUUCCGUGGAGCAUGCCUGUUUGAGUGUCAUGAAUACUUCAACCCUCCUCUUUCUUAAUGAUUGAAGAGGUGUUUGGUUUCUGAGCGCUGCUGGCCUUUACGGUCUAGCUCGUUCGUAAUGCAUUAGCAUCCGCAAUCGAACUUCGGAUUGACUUGGCGUAAUAGACUAUUCGCUGAGGAAUUCUAGUCUUCGGAUUAGAGCCGGGUUGGGUUAAAGGAAGCUUCUAAUCAGAAUGUCUACAUUUUAAGAUUAGAUCUCAAAUCAGGUAGGACUACCCGCUGAACUUAAGCAUAUCAAACGAGGGGAAAAACACGUCCGUCUUAAAUUUGAGUCGGACCUCUUUUCUUGUACUCCCUCUCCCUUUCUUACGCUCCGGAGUUGUUUGGGGGAAGAGAUCUCCUACGAGAGCGAACUCCUAUUCACUUAUUAACACAAAGUCUAUGAAUGGAUUAAAUUUUAUAAUAUAAUAAAAAUUUCAACAACCGAUCUCUUGGCUCUCGCAUCGAUGAAGAACGCAGCGAAAUGCGAUAAGUAAUGUGAAUUGCGGAAUUCAGUGAAUCAUCGAAUCUUUGAACGCACCUUGCGCUCCAUGGUAUUCCGUGGAGCAUGCCUGGUUGAGUGGGGUGAAUACUUCAACCCUCCUCUCUUCUCACUGAUUGAAAGAAGAUGAUUGGGUUUCGAUCGCUGCUGGCCUGUGCGGUCUAGCUGAUUCGUAUGAAUUAGCAUCGCAAUCGAACUUCGAAUUGACUGGGGGGUAGUAGACUAUUCCCUGAGCAAUUCUAGUCUUGCGCAAUUAGAAGCGGCAGGGUAAGGAGGCUCUAAUCCAUUCUCAGUUCUAAGAAUUAGAAUCUCAGAUCAGGUAGGACAGUACGCGCGCGUGAACCGUGUAGC